GACAGAUAAUCAGUCUUAUAUAGCAGUUUUCUACAGUCCUCUAUUUGGAAAAUUCAGAAGGGUAGGAAGAACUUAAGGAAGCAAACCAACUUCUCGUAGUUCUACUACCCAAAGGAAGCCACUGAUGCUAUUAAGUCGUCUCAAAAAUCUCUUUCCUCUUUUUGGUUACUGGGAUCCUCAUUGUCUUAAUCCCCAAAGAAGAAAUCUGGGGCUUAUCUUUGAUUUGUUACAUUUAGUAAAUUGUGUUUGUUCUACUGUGGCUCUUGAAUUUGUCCAGUCCCUCAUCUCCUGACUCAUUCCUUUUCACAGUAGAUAUUAAACUAAACUAGUCUUCUCUAUCUGGUUUUCUGUUUCUUUUGUCUUUCCUAUUUUAUUCAAGUAGAUUUAUUUCUCCAAGAACCAAGUCUAAUCCUAUCACUUGACUUUAAAACAUUCUGUGUCUCUGAAGGCUUUAAAGAGAGAGUAUGGACAGAGUAUUAGAGCAGAUAUAAAGUGCUAGAAGUCUAUGAAGCAUUUCAUAGUGGCCUCAUUCAUAGCAGUCCCUCAGUUGGCAUUUUAUAUAUAAUUUACAGCAUGCAACUUGAUCAUCUCUUAAACACAACACAUGUUUCCAAACACCAGUGUCGUGUUUUAUGCUCUUUUUUUCUGCCUUGGACUAAUUUUUUUUCUUUUUACUUUCCCUCCCACAAAAAUGCUUAACUUUCAAAACAUAACUUCGACAUCAUCUUCUCUGGGAAGCAUUUUUAAACUGUUCCAGAUACAAUUACUUACUCUGGUGUUUCAGGGGAACUAAUUAUAAUGGUUGCCAGGUUGUAUUAUAUGUAUCAUGUCGAUUUCUGCUUUUCUAGUUAGUUAAGGGAGGUAGAGAUACCCUGUGAUUUGGAAUCACAAGAUGAUUUUAACUGUCAGAAGGUAAUUGUAGGGAAGCAGAUUUUGUUUCUCACUCUGUUGCUUGAGUUAUUUUAUUAUGUUGCCUUUAUAAUUCUACCUACAGUAUACCUAGAGUAUUCGUGUUUAUUCUUUAUUUCCAAUCAGGCCUCCAUAUCAACAACCUACUGCAGCAACAAUGCCAGAUCCUUAACCUGCUGUGCCACAAGAGAACUCCAGAGUAAUUUAUCAGUUAUGUAAAGUAUAUGGGAGGAUAUGUAUAGGUUAUAUGCAAAUACUAUGACAUUUUUUGUGAGGGAUUUGACUUGACUGUCUAUGGAUUUUGGUAUCUGUGGGGAUUUGGAACCAGUCCCCCCCUCCAUGGAUUCAAAGGGAUGAGUAUACAUUCAUGCUCUGUACCAAAGAUAUCCAAAGAUUUCGAAGUUUCUAGAGGAGGGUUGGAGAAGUGUUAUUUUGAAAUUUUAAAAAAGACUAAGACACCCUCCCCCCAAAAUUUUGCUUUGGGUUUCUUGGUGCUACCUUCACUGCUGUCUUUGUUCAGAAUUGUCAUUUUGCGAAAGAGACUGUUUUUGUUAAAAUUACUCAGCACAUCUUUUCAGUAUACUUCACAUUAGUAUUAAGGAGUCUGUCCAAAGAAUUCUGAAUAUAUUCACACUAUGCUUAUUUCUAUAGAAUUGAGCAAGAAAACACAACUUAAAAACUUAGUGAGAGGAAAUUCCCAUUGUGGCUAAAUGGUUAAGAACCUGAUGAGUACCCAUGAGGAUGCAGGUUCGAUCCCUGGCCUUGCUCAGUGUGUUAAGGAUCCAGGGUUGCAGUGAGCUGUGGUGCAGGUCAAAGAUACGGCUCAGAUCCCGAGGUGCUAUGGUUGUGGUGUAGGCCAGCAGCUGCAUCUGACUCGACCCCUCAUCUGGGAACUUCCAUAUGCUGCAAGUGUGGCCCUUAAAAAAAAAAAUUAUAAAU
rnacentral:lncRNA from 1 species